ACAAUUGCCAGUCUCCUCCCAGCCGUCAGUAGGACAGGCUGUAGGAUUUUAUAGGUGUGCAUCCUACACUUGACCUCUUAUACAUAGGCACUAGUGAUAUACCUGUACAACUCUUCUAACUAAGGAGUCCUAUAGGAUCUUCAGGAAUGGAGGACAUGUCACAGCCAUUGCACCCGAAGGAGUUGGAGCAGUGGAGGGCGCAGAUCACAAGGGCGGGGGGGGCGCAGGACCCAUCGGCGGGGGGCGUGGUGGACAUACCCCCACCCACGUACGAGGAAGCAACCACAAACGCCCCCCCCGCCACCUCCCCCAACUUCAUGCCCCCCUCCACCGCCCCCCCCGCCACCUCCCCCAACUUCAUGCCCCCCUCCACCGCCCCCACCGCCCCUACUGCACCCACCCCCACCAGCCCUUACUUUUACCCUACAACCAGUGACGCCCCUUACCCAUCCACCAGUACUGCCCCCUACCCAUCCGCAGCCCCUUAUCCUGACCCGACAAGCCCCCCUUUGCACCCCACCCCAUUCUCCACCACCCCUGACCCCACCCCCACCCCCGGCCAGUCCACCAAGCGCCCCACUUCCGGCUCCUCUGAAGGGGAGAAGAUAACAGUGGAACCCUUCUCUCAAGACUGGUCGGGGAGUAGAGAGCCUGAAUGGUCUGCUGAAGAGCCUGUCACCGCCGUGGGUCUAUUCAGGCAGCGGCUACAGAAGGAGACAUUCACCUGCGCACCAGUCAAAGCGGUGAUUUGCCUAAUUGCUAUAGCGAUAAUUAUCCUUAUGUGUUAUCUAUUGAGCUCGAUCCUCUGGCCUUCUUCCCACCCCGCCCCGCAGCCACAUUUGCCUCAAUAGUAAUCCACAAUGCACUUAUUCGCAACGCUGUAGUGAGUGAGUCUUGAUUGCUUUUGUAAAAACCCAACUGAUGUCUUUUAAUAAACUUGGCAUAUCAUAGUCACUAGGCCAUGUUUAGGUUCGUACUAAUCUCAUUAUCUUUCCUCUUUUAUAGUAUUUACGUAUCUACAUCUUAGUUCGCCUCUUUGAACAGCCUCUCGUGGAAGUGAACUGGGCUUUUCAUG